GUAAUGUAGGGUCUUGGUUAGUAAAAACGCACGUGUUUUAAAAAUUGCGAAAACAAAGUUUACCACUGCACUGCACAGCUAGCUGGGUAGGUACGGUUAAGGUUCGGAGCUGAGUUAACGGACGACAUACUAGUCAGCCACAGAUCCAGGGCCAGGGGCCUUCUCCAUCUCCAGGCGCCAAUUUAGACUUCUUUUGAAGUACAAGUGCAGAGAAGAAGAAAAUGAAAUGGCGUUUGUUUAUUGGGCCUUAUUAUAAUAUGACUAUUCUUCUAAUAUUUGAGUUCGAGAUGGCAAUGCUUUGACCGAUUUUGGGCUGGGAGCGAAACUUCAAUCCCCAGACCACAUGGACCGCUACACUACAGCACAGGAGGAGAUCGUGGACGGGGAAGUCCGCGGUGACUUGGCCAGAUGGAUGCGUGGAGUUCUCGGAUAUGGACGGCGCACCUGAGGCCGAGAUCUCACUGAAUUGAACUGUGAUGAUGUCGAUGAGCUGACUUAUCUCGGUCUGGGGUUGUACAUGCAAGUGCUCUUCAUGUGGUGUAUGGAUGUAUCUGCAAGGUGUCUGGACAUCAAGAUAGUGAAGAGCUGCAUUGUAAGGAUCAACAGACAAUAUUCCUAUGGAGAGGUUUCUGCAACAGACUGAAUCCAGCAUCCUUUAUGUAAACAGAGUAGAGGAGUUUGCUGUCAAUGGAUCUAGUAAGAUAAUAUUGUCAACCAUAUACAGAAAAGAAACCCAGCAACAUGAUAUCCUAAAUGUUACCAGUCUCAAGAAUUCAUCUUUACAGACCGCACAGCCAUCAUCAUAAUCAACACUACUUAUUAAUCAGGAAAAUUAAUGCAACAGGGGGUUUCUAAGCCUGCAAGAUAUUAAUAUGCAACCACCGAAGCAAACCGGAUACGAAAAAGAAUUUUCUUUAUAAUGCAAACUUAAUCAGCAUAGACAGUGCAAUAUCACCCCACAUUGAUACUGCGAGAUUUAAAAGCCAGAAUGAAAAGUAACAGACCUGCAAUCCCUCUCAUCUUUAUUCAAGUGAAUUACAAAGAAAGAUUGAUUGCCAAUCAUCACAAGGUACAUCUUGGACCCGUUUAUGGACUUGUGCAUUAGAGAUCAUCAAGUGCAUGUUUUUUUUAAAGCAUCCACUGGGAAUGGAAAAUUUGGCAAUUGAUUGACAAAAGGUUGUCAACAGGUGAGAGAUGCAAUGAAGUUUGAUAUGGCAUCCUAUCACACAUUCUUCACCUGGCUCGAAAUAGCAUGACUUACAGUUGCGAGGACUCAAUCCUUUUGCGGUGCCUUCACUUUUUCAAGCAACUUAGAGCAGACCUCAAUUGAAGUGUGUAUUCUAUGCAGAGAACAGCAGAGCAUCCACCAAGCUCUGUCAUGGCUCUCCAGUAAAGGAACAGACAAGAAUUUUGGUCAGUAUUCAAGGGAUGUAGACUACAUUGAAGCUGCCAUCAGAGCGGAGGAUCCAACUCAACUUGUCACAUUGCUUCUAGGAAGAAGAUCACAAGACAGGUUAGGUCAUCAUUGAUCUGUGUCAUGACACUAAAUCCUUUUGUCUUUUAUAAUAUGAUUUAACAUUUAGAUGUGAUUUACUUUGAAUGACAUGCUAUGCUUCAUUUAUUUCAUUUUCAUUGAUUAUCUGAAUUAUAUUGUAUUUACUAAGAAUCUUGCUAGGUGUUCAAAAGUUAAUCAUGCUAUAAAUACCCGUCAUUCCUCACUCGUAGUGAGCAAUAUUUUUUGUGUUUUACUGGUAAAGUUAGCCUGCAGAGCUAUUUACUUCUCAAAUAUUGAGUAUUAAAGCAUGAUGUAGAAUUGCAUCAUCUCACUUUUUAGUGUUCCAUCUUCUCCAAAUAAUUUUUCUCCAUCAAAUGCCGAAAUAGUAAAUUCCUUUUUUAAGGAAGAUGCGCUUGCGCAGCAUAUACACGCGUGAACAGUAAGAGAAAGAGUUUUUCAUUUUCUCUAAUGGAGACCAGUUGAAUACCAAAUUCUUUUUUGUAGAGUAUGAAUAUACCUUUCUCCUAUGUAGUUAAAUGGUUAAUACAGAUGUGCACUAUAAAACAAUUACCACUUUAUUUCAGGUGACAAAUCAUUCUAUCACUUUGUCAGUGAAGUGGAGAUACAUGUACAUGUUAUUCCCUCCCCUCAACUUGGCUUUAUAAAGAUAGCAGCAUCAAGUAGUUUAGCCCGUCAGCCACCUUUUCAGUGACAAGGGAGUCAACAUCAGACUUUCCCAUUUUGAUUCCCUUUUCUUCCAAUGCUCUUUUCUUGUUUGGUGAUGCAUACGUAACAAGGUCACAUAGUGUUUCAGCAAAUAUUACAGGUUUAGGUGAUAUCUUUGUCCUGGCUCUUGACAGGGAUUUUCUCUUAGCUACACCAGACCCGGGGGUUCGAUUGGUGGGAGAUCCUGAAUUUCUCAAUUCCUCCUUUUCUAAUGACAACUGCUCUUUUGCAAGUUAUAAAUGAACUCGCAUUGACAAAAUGAUAAGAGAAGUAAGUUUUUCUUUUCUUGCUCAUUUAAUCCCUCAUAUAUAUCUAAUUAAUAAUGCAUCUUAACAAUUUUCCAAAAUGUUACCUAAAUGUCAGAAUUUUGGUUCCUAAGAGCUUACCCCAUGUAAUUUGUGUAUUGACCCAACCCUGUGGACAUACCUAUAUAUAUAUUUCUUUCACAACAUAUUCAAAUGAAAGAGUUGUCCAAUAGCUGUUGUAAUAAUAAUAAUAAUAUAUUGGAUUUUAUUGCAAUAAAACUAUCAAAAUACAAUCACAAGCAGUCAAAGACGGAAAUGAGUGAAAGUUUACAUGUACAAAUAGAAAUAUAACAAUAUAUAAAGUAAACAUUAUAAAUAAAUAUUAAAUACAAUACAAAUUCAUACAGAU